rnacentral:lncRNA from 1 species
CAUCCAGAUCGAGCUGCGCCAGAACGCGUCGCAGAAGGCGCCCCGCGACGUGGACAUCGGCGACGCCGCCUACUACUUUGAGCGCGACGUCAAGGGUGAGUCGCUGUUCCCGGGCCACAGCGGCGCAGGUGUGCCGGUGCGCGGUGGGGCGCUGCCCGUGGAGCACACGCUCAUCUACUACCUGGACGAGGAGCCUCCCGAGUUCACCAUGCGGCGCCUCACCGCCGGCGUCAUCGCCGUCAUCGUGGUGGUCGCUUUGGCCCUGGUCGCCGGCGUGGUCGUCCUGGUGAUCACCCACUGCAAGAGGUCUGGGAAGUACAAGAAGGUGGAGAUCAAGGAGUUGGGGGAACUGAGAAGUGAACCAAGCUUGUGAUUUGGAAACCUCCUUCAGACUGCAGGGCGUGGGCCCGAGACAAGAAGCAACUGGCAGCGCUGUGGAGGGGCCAGGCGGCUUUGGUUAUCCCGACCAUCUUGUGCAUUUGUUUCCCAGGCUGUUUCUCCUCUGAAUCCCAGCCCUAUUCUGAAACAGGAGAUACUAGUCUUGCUCAGCCCUUGGGCAGAUGUCUUAAUCCCCAAGUGCUGUGGCUCUAAGGAAGACUACUUUACUUUCCCAAGCUGCUAAACCCGUGAUCUAGCUAUGUGUGCUAGUUGUUUCCCUAAGUUUUCUAGUAAUGUGCUUGGAAGACUUCUUUCCUGUCAGCUGUCAGAAGGAGCCCCUGACUCCUUCAUGCUUAGCUUCUCCAUUUGCACUCACUCACACUCGUUUGUGACAGCCAAAUGUGUCUCUAUAGGGCAGCCCAGAGGGAAAUAAGUUACUGACUUAAGCGGGAAGCUGGUGUGUGCAGAAAGGAGACAGUGGUUGGUAGAGCAAAUAGACCCCAACACGUAAGUUAGAUCCAAGACUUGAGUUCCUCCCCCAGAGGCCUCCCCAGCACCUCUCCACCCACCCUGCCUCUGCUGCCUUCCCGUACCCCUCAAACCUGGAAGGACAGUAGAAGAGGGGAGAAAUGGCUCAGCCACUGUCUUCACAGCUUGUGCUGUGGGUGUUAAGCAUGGGUGGAGUGGAAACUUUAGAAUCGCCGGGGUCUCAUCCUGUAGUGUGUGCCCCCCCACCCAGUGAGGGAGGAGCUUGGAGCUUGGGGAGUGAGUGAGUGAGUGAGACUCACCUCUGGACUCUCUGGGUGCUUUCUGCUUCCCUGAGUCACUCCGGUGCCUUAGAGAAAGGGGCCUUGGUGAUUGCUCGCUCUGACUCAUCCCCACAUGUCAAGGGUGAAAAAAGCAAAUGACUUCUCAGGAUUAAGGAUUCUGUAGCUCUGAUGGAACUAGAAAGCCUCGUUGUGUCAAGAGUCAGUUCAAAAGACUACUGCUUGACUGCCUGAAAAAUAAACAUUACAGAUGUAGAGAACCGCUAAACAAAUGACCUCCCUGCGAAAGCCCGUUACUCCACCAGGGUGGAACUUCUUUGCAGAUUUAAGUUUCUGCACUAAUUCUAGGCUGUGACUUCCUGCCCUUCCUAGCACUCAUGAUUGGAAAAGCACUUUCAUAGGUGUAAUUUUUGAGACACCAACUUACUGGAAACAAUAGAACUUUGACAGACCUGAGUUCAAAUCCUGCUUAAUUGGCUAGGAGGUUCCAUGACUGCCCGCCCUUUUUCUUCAUCUGUUAAAUGAAAAUACAAAUCCCUCUCUCAUUAUUGUAGAGAUGAAUUGAGGUAAUUGAGAUGUGUGCCUAGAGCAAUCUGGGAAAUUCGUGAGAGUUCAGUAUAUACAAAUUUUUCUCUGUUCUGAAUUGUAUCUACGCCACACAUUGGAACACCGAUCUGAAGAAGUUGACCAAGCCCGCGAACACACAGCCUCCAUGUUCCAAAGCCAGGCUUUACAACAUUGGCUUUGACUUCCUCGCCCAGGUGUUUGACCCAGCGCUAGCAGGAGGAGACACCUUUCUUACCUCCAAGCCCCUCAGGCCCUGUUUUGAAACCCAGCUUGCCUCUGCCGAGGCCAGAAUUCCUGAACCAGCUACCUGCAAGGAUUCAGCCUCCACAUCUGGGUUCUUCCUCCCCAACUUCCCUUCCUCUGCUUUGGCCUUUGUCUCUGCCUUGGAAGGAAUGUGAGAGGCAGGUGUGUCUCACCCAGCAGGUCCCAGCUUGUCUUCUGAGCCUGCAGGAAGCUCAACAGGUUUCCUUGUAUAAGCUACGGGGGCUUUCUCCAUGCUUGCUGUUGGCUUCAUUGGGGGAAUUUUAAAAAUCACCCAUCCUCCCCUACCACCAUUUGCAUAUUUUUUCUUUGCUUCUCCAAGUAGAGUGGUAGAGCUGGAAAGAAGGUCAUGUGGACCAACACCCCCAUUCCCCAGAUGAAGAACGUGAAGUCCAGAGAGAAUUGCUCUCCCCGAGCCAGGCAGAGUGUGGCAGAGCUAGCUGGAGCACCAAAUCCUGGCUCUAGGUAGCUCUUCUUCCACUUACCCCUGUGGGGAGUGACCUGCUUACUUAUUUUGUGAUUAUUUUCUGUUCUUAAAUCACAGCUAUUCUUUAGCUUUGGGAUAUCACUUCAGUGAGAGAGCUACUUUGAAUAAAUGUAGAAUGGACGAGCUUUAAAGUUCCUAGGCUGUGGUUCUCCUGCUUAUGCACCAGGCGUAGUUUUAUCUAAGAGGCUGUGCUUUAAAGAUCAGACAGAAGACCUGGAAAGAUCGAGUGUGUAUUCCGUGAAUGAUCGCUCUUGUUUAACUCUAGCAAGGUACCUCAGAGGAAGAAAUGGUAAGCCCUGCUUGAGUUAUGUCGGUGGAAUGUGAACAGAACUUCGCCCUGUUUUCCACAAGGACAUCUGUACCCUAAAUGUCUGUUACUACAGCAGCUGGAGAGACCUUGCAAGCCACCUGUUUGACGAGGCAGAGCCAUGGACCAAGCACUGUGCCCAGCCUGCCGCACAGCACACAGAUCUACAACUGUGUUGUUUUCUUUGGAAACUACAAGACGAGCAGCACUAUCUUGAAAAUCUGAAAUCCCAAAUGCUCCGGUCUGAAACUUCCCGAGCGUUGAGCUGACAUCACAAGUGGAAAAUUCCACACUUGACUUCAUGUGGCCUGUCACAGUCAAAGAAGCACUAAACAUACUGUGUAAGAUUACCUCUAGGCUGUGAGUGUAAGGUGUAUAUAAAAAAAUAAAUGACUAGUUCAUUUAGACUAUUUGGCCAGAGUAGGCUAGUGUCUCAUCUCCAGGAUAUCUCAUUAUGUGUAUACAAGUGUUUCAAAAUCCCCAAA